rnacentral:rRNA from 1 species
GACAGAGGGUGCGAACGUUGUUCGGAAUUACCGGGCGUAAAGCGCGUGUAGGCGGCCAUGUAAGUCGGGCGUGAAAUCCCACGGCUACAACCGUGGGAAGUGCACCCGACGACUGCGUGGCGUAGAGUCCUGGAGAGGAAGGUGGAAUGCUUGGUGUAGAGGUGAAAUUGUAGAUAUCAAAGCGGAACACCGGUGGCGAAGGCGGCCUUGCUGGACAGUGACUGACGCUGAGACGCGAAAGCGUGGGGAG